UACAAAUUAAAUACGCCAAGGUCCCAUACAAAAGGGUCAUCGUUUUUUGACUCACAGAAAACUAGAUUUAAAGAACCCUAUGCACGAAUUUUGCUUGACAAGUAACAAAUACUGAAAAAUGAUUAGAAAUGGCAACGCGUUUUGAUAGAUCCGAUCCAAGCAUGUCAUGUUCAGAUCUUUUUUUUUAACAAUUUGUUUAUGUUUUUGAAGUAAAAUUUUUGUAGAUCGCUUUCAUGAUUUUAUAUAAGGAGAAGUGCUUCGAAUGGGAUCUGCGAAGAGUGCGAUAGCAUUUAUACCGGAGACAUCGGUAGCAGAACUACCCAAAAUGGUAGUCAAUUGUACGGCAGGUGCUGAUUAUAUCUUGCGUACAUUCAACUGUGAUGUAGAAGGUGAUAAUGCGGUUGCGCAGAUGGUCACUGGUGUAUCAAGUAGAACCCACAAAGUAGCACCCGGGUGAGACGGACAAGGUGUUAUUUCCAGGAAGUUGGGAAAGAGUGCACUUGUACAAUGUGGAACCAAAACUGGCGUUACUGUCGAUUGAAAGUAACAAACAUCCACUCAAUAACCUGAAAAUAAAUAAUUCAGCUUUUGUGGAAGCGCAUUCAGGAAGAUGAUGGACAUAUUUGUAGAACGAAUGAACGGUAUUCCAUAUUCGGUGCACAAGAAUGUAAAACUAUUCAAAGUCUAACGGGUUGUGCAAACUUUGCGCCCGACGCAUGAGUUGCAGUACUUUCUCUGGUUCUCCAGUCAGAAUAGACAGCUGCCCUGAUAGGAGCGAGUGGUUUUUGGAAAUCGACAAAUGGUGGAAAAAAAUUACAAAACAACCGACUUGCACAACUUUUUGAAACUGUGGCUUCGAGGUCAGCUGCCGAUUCUUUUUUGAACGAGCAGCUAACGAAACAUCCGCUGCGGACGACUCAAUGCAACCAAGGUCGAAGUCGCCACCUUUUCUUAACAACCCGCAGUAUGACUGAGUCAACUAUAGUUUUCUUUAUGAAAUGUUAGGAAUAAAGUUAACGAUUUGCUUACUACGUGAA